GAAACAUUUGAAGUGACUUAGUGGCGGACGGGUGAGUAACGCGUGGGUAACCUGCCCUGUACUGGGGGACAACAGUUGGAAACGGCUGCUAAUACCGCAUAAGCGCACAGCAUCGCAUGGUGCAGUGUGAAAAACUCCGGUGGUACAGGAUGGACCCGCGUCUGAUUAGCUAGUUGGUGGGGUAACGGCCUACCAAGGCGACGAUCAGUAGCCGGCCUGAGAGGGUGAACGGCCACAUUGGGACUGAGACACGGCCCAGACUCCUACGGGAGGCAGCAGUGGGGAAUAUUGCACAAUGGGCGCAAGCCUGAUGCAGCGACGCCGCGUGAGUGAUGAAGUAUUUCGGUAUGUAAAGCUCUAUCAGCAGGGAAGAAAAUGACGGUACCUGACUAAGAAGCACCGGCUAAAUACGUGCCAGCAGCCGCGGUAAUACGUAUGGUGCAAGCGUUAUCCGGAUUUACUGGGUGUAAAGGGAGCGUAGGCGGCAUGGCAAGUCAGAUGUGAAAGCCCGGGGCCCAACCCCGGAACUGCAUUUGAAACUGUCAGGCUAGAGUACCGGAGAGGUAAGCGGAAUUCCUAGUGUAGCGGUGAAAUGCGUAGAUAUUAGGAGGAACACCAGUGGCGAAGGCGGCUUACUGGACGGUAACUGACGCUGAGGCUCGAAAGCGUGGGGA
rnacentral:rRNA from 1 species